rnacentral:rRNA from 1 species
UACGGAGGGUGCAAGCGUUGUUCGGAAUCACUGGGCGUAAAGGGCGUGUAGGCGGUCCGCUAAGUCUGAUGUGAAAGCCCGGGGCUCACCCCCGGAAGGGCAUUGGAAACUGGCGGACUCGAGUCCCGGAGAGGAAGGUGGAAUUCCUGGUGUAGCGGUGAAAUGCGUAGAUAUCAGGAGGAAUACCGGUGGCGAAGGCGGCCGUCUGGACGGUGACUGACGCUGAGACGCGAAAGCGUGGGGAGCAAACAGG